AGAAUUUUUGCUAUAUUAAUGAUAAUAUUGGUCUCCAGCUUUCUAAGCUUAUACCAUAAAUGUAUAAAUAAUAAAGGAUUUUAUCUUUUUUAUUUUCUAGUUUCUUCCUCCCUGUUUCUCUCCAAGGAAUGAGAGGCUCGUCUGAUUACAUGGAAUCCCAGUAUCAUGAUUGGCCAACUACUAAGACAAAGACUGCUGCCAUGUCCUGCUUGCUAUCUGCUGUCCUUGAUGUGGUGUCACUCAAGUGCCCUUCUGCUUCAGACAGACAAUUCACUUGUUCUGGGAGCAUUCACGGAGACCACCUCUGUAAUUCCACAUGAAUAAUUAGGAAGGUGAGAUCCUAAGAGCAUGACUAUUUGAAUAUGCCAAGACAUAAAAGUGGAUGCUUAAGGCCCUGGGAAAGGGGUUUACUUUCACAUCUUCCUUGGUAUGGUACGUAAGUGAUACAGCGUGCAUGGAAGACCAAGGCCAAGGGCCUCUUCAAACAAUCAGCCUUUAGCAAUGCACAUCUACUUUA
rnacentral:lncRNA from 1 species